rnacentral:lncRNA from 1 species
GUAAAAGCUGGGUGUUUCUCGAUUUUAUUCUUUUCUCAUAAGUGUUUCUUGAAUGUGGGUAUCUUCUACUGAUGGUCUAUAUUAAAGUCUAGUCCAAAAGGGUGCAUUCUUAAAUUAACUAUUUUACAGUAGUUAUUUCAAUAUACAUUUCUCAAGGUAUUCUCAGAGAGACUUCAGUCAUUCCAGGUCACCUACUACCUGAACAAAUCUAAGAGCCCCUGUUCCACAACAGGGAGAUGGCCCCAACUGAGAUGAAGCGCGAGCAU